rnacentral:rRNA from 1 species
AAUCAACGCUGGCGGCGUGCCUAACACAUGCAAGUCGAACGAGAAGGUGACUUCGGUCACUGGAUAGUGGCGUCCGGGUGAGUAACACGUAGGUAAUCUACCUUCGGGUGGGGAAGUAACGUACUCGAAGAGACGCUAAUACCGCAUAAUGCAGCGGCACCUAAUAGGUGAUUAGUUGUUAAAGCGGGGGAGUCUUCGGACCUCGCGCCUGAAGAGGAGCCUGCGGCAGAUUAGCUAGUUGGUGAGGUAAUGGCUCACCAAGGCUUCGAUCUGUAGCUGGUCUGAGAGGACGGCCAGCCACACUGGCACUGACACACGGGCCAGACUCCUACGGGAGGCAGCAGUGGGGAAUUUUGGGCAAUGGGCGAAAGCCUGACCCAGCAACGCCGCGUGAAGGAGGAAAUCCUUCGGGAUGUAAACUU